GCAAAACAUCUUUCCCAAACACAAUCAAAUCUGAAAUCACAAAUCAUAGUUGAUAUCACAAGCUGUGACCAAUUUAUAUGUUUGUCCGAAGUUGCCAUUUUCUACAAGUGACAGUAUCCCGUACUUGUGCAUAGGCUGUAGAUGGAGCCACGCUUGAAAUAACACUGACAUAACAAACCACUAGUCACGGUUGACGGGCACUGAAAAAAAACAUAAAUUCGUUCAUGCAUGACAUGAACACUUAAUUAAGGUCCACAUAACAGGUGAUGAGAUGACAACAGGUCUGCUUCGCACCUUCACAACAACAGAUUGUCAAUAACACACCCUGUGACAUAAAACCACUCACAAGGCAAACAGACAUGACAAGGAACAGGCUAUUAUUAUGACACCAACAAUUACCUUUGUCCAUAGUCAUCUUAAAUCACCACAAUGUCCAAAAUUAAUCCAACAAUUCUCAGUCCAUUUUUCAAGAAGGUUAGUGACAUAAAUAUCCCUGGCUGGUCCGCACAUCAGUGUUGGCUGUGGCCUUGUGUGUAAUCACAGGUAGCUGGCUGUCAAUACCCGGCCGACUGGCCGCGACAAUGGAUUAUACAGGCAGGCAUGUUCGGACACAGCCAGUUCAUGCACCCCCCAGUUCCUGUCUUUGGAGCAUGCUCAGAGCGGAGAUUACCUAUAUCACAAGAUCACAGCCAGGGGUUCAGUGUUGAGGACAAUUAUUCAACAAUUGAACAGCUGGUUCCAUGUCAAUCAUGACCCCGACCCUCCUGGAUGAUUACGGAGUGGGCGUGUCCAGCUCCCCAUGUGCUUCUCACUUCCUGGUUGUGGCUGCAUCUGGAGGGAGCAUCCAUCUAUCUCCCUCCUCACCAGCAGGUGACCACAUAGUGCUCCUGCGUUGGUUCAAGCAAAUCUCCCAGACUCCGUGCACCCAGUAGCUGUGGCUUAUUCCGAGUUAUACGCUGGUCACACCCUCGUCUGUACACAGCCAGGAGAACAGCUGGAGAACUGGGCAGCAGUGGAAACUAAGUGAGUCAUUUUGACAUUUUGUCUGUCUCUAUAAUACAUCCCGGUCUUGUAAUAUAGACUCGGAGGAUCUCCAGGUUAGCCCAUCCUACACACAAGACUUGGCACACAGCUGAAGGUCUGAAUGUCAGUGUGUUCCAGUGUCCCGGAUUAAAGGAACUGUCAAUUGAUAUGGGGCAUCCAGCAUCAACCAUCAUGGCGGCGAGAUCAGAAACCACUGACAGCCAAACUCAAUGUGUCAGUAUAUAAAAGGUCCGGUGAUGACAGUCAACCUCAAAUUCCUGUCAUCAUGGCAGCCAACACAACCCUUCUGUGUGACCAUGACAGUCAACACAACCCUCCUGUGUUACCAUGACAGUCAACUAAACCCUCCUGUGUCACCAUGGCAGUCAACCCAACUCUCCUGUGUCACCAUGACAGUCAACACAACCCUCCUGUGUUACCAUGACCGUCAACCCAACUCUCCUGUGUCACCAUGACUGUCAACCCAACUCUCCUGUGUCACCAUGACAGUCAACUAAACCCUCCUGUGUCACCAUGGCAGUCAACCCAACUCUCCUGUGUCACCAUGACAGUCAACACAACCCUCCUGUGUCACCAUGACUGUCAACCCAACUCUCCUGUGUCACCAUGACAGUCAACCCAACUCUCCUGUGUCACCAUGACAGUCAACUAAACCCUCCUGUGUCACCAUGGCAGUCAACCCAACUCUCCUGUGUCACCAUGACAGUCAACACAACCCUCCUGUGUCACCAUGACUGUCAACCCAACUCUCCUGUGUCACCAUGACAGUCAACCCAACCUUCUUGUGUCACCAAGACAGUCAACCCAACCCUCCUAUGUAACCAUGGCAGUGAACCCAACUCUCCUGUCACCAUGACAGUCAACCCAACCCUCCUGUGUUACCAUGACAGUCAACACAACCUUCCUGUGUCACCAUGACAGUCAACACAACCCUCCUGUGUCACCAUGACAGUCAACACAACCCUCCUGUGUCACCAUGACAGUCAACACAACCCUCCUGUGUUACCAUGACAGUCAACACAACCCUCCUGUGUCACCAUGACAGUCAACACAACCCUCCUGUGUCACCAUGACAGUCAACACAACUCUCCUGUGUUACCAUGACAGUCAACACAACCCUCCUGUGUCACCAUGACAGUAAACACAACCCUCCUGUGUUACCAUGACAGUCAACACAACCCUCCUGUGUCACCAUGGCAGUCAACACAACCCUCCUGUGUCACCAUGACAGUCAACACAACCCUCCUGUGUCACCAGUCACAGGUACCAAGAAGAAUAGCCUGUGUAAGCUGGACGAGAUGGAAGGGAACUCUACCACUCAAUCCUCUCAUCCUAAAACCAUGUCAGUGACAAGAUGCAAAGAGUUGUCUCCCUUACCUGGCCCAGCAGCUCCCUGCACAAGAGGAUCAAACUUGACAAACAGAGACUCACGGCCCAGAUCCGACUCUUUACACUGGAGAAGAAGAGAAGCCAGUCAGUGAGACUCGUAGUACUGGCAGCAGUAUCAUGGCGGGUACAGUGCGUGUGGAUGGGCAGACUUGAACACAAACUCACCAUCAGAUGCAGGAACAAAGCCUUCAUUGUCACACUCCGGCAUCUCCCCAUCUUCCCCUGCACCAAAGUCAUGGACCAUCUCCAGGCUAUCAGCCAUCUGAUUGGCUGCUUCUUUGUCAUGUGACUUCAGACCCUGCACAACAGGCAGCUGUUUGGCUACUUCUUUGUCAUGUGACUGCAGAUCCUCCUCUACAGGCAGCUGAUUGGCUGGCGGUGGAUCAGAAGUUAUCAAACAUGUCAAGAAGAGUGAGUGGGUGAAAAGUCAAAGAAGUCCCAGCGGCGUUCAGACUGGAGAUGAAUGAUGCAUCACUGACACGACUGAUGGUCAUCAACUAUCAUCAGGCUGAUGACACGAGUCAAGAAUUGAUCAUCCAGCCAACAACAGCUGAGGACGGCGUUCAGUAUUUCUCAUUGACGGUUAUUGAUUAGAGCCCUGUAAUAUCUUCACCAAUGAAGAGGAACAAAACGGCCACAUGUUGCCCCUUUUCUAAAACAUAUGGGUUUAAUCAACAGUUAUAAACAUGAUGGAAUUCUGACAGGUCGCACCCAAACAUUCCAUCACUGUUGAUAUAUUUGACAGCUAGAUCGGCAUUAGUGGUUCCACUAAUUGUAAAAAUGUUCGUUGUUUAGAUACAUCGUGAUUGAACGUUAUGGCUUACAGUAUUC